rnacentral:misc_RNA from 1 species
GACAGAGGAGGCAAGCGUUGCUCGGAAUCACUGGGCGUAAAGGGCGCGUAGGCGGGAUGGCAAGUCGGUCGUGAAAUCCCCGGGCUCAACUCGGGGGAGUCGGUCGAUACUGCCGUUCUUGAGGGAUGCAGAGGAGACUGGAAUUUCCGGUGUAGCGGUGAAAUGCGCAGAGAUCGGAAGGAAUACCUGUGGCGAAGGCGAGUCUCUGGGCAUCCUCUGACGCUGAGGCGCGAAAGCGUGGGGAGCAAACAGG